GCGAAGAACCUUACCUACUCUUGACAUCCAGAGAAUCCUACGGAGACGUGGGAGUGCCUUCGGGAACUCUGAGACAGGUGCUGCAUGGCUGUCGUCAGCUCGUGUUGUGAAAUGUUGGGUUAAGUCCCGCAACGAGCGCAACCCUUAUCCUUGUUUGCCAGCACUUCGGGUGGGAACUCCAGGGAGACUGCCGGUGAUAAACCGGAGGAAGGUGGGGACGACGUCAAGUCAUCAUGGCCCUUACGAGUAGGGCUACACACGUGCUACAAUGGCGCAUACAGAGGGCGGCCAACUUGCGAAAGUGAGCGAAUCCCAAAAAGUGCRUCGUAGUCCGGAUUGGAGUCUGCAACUCGACUCCAUGAAGUCGGAAUCGC
rnacentral:rRNA from 1 species